UACGAAGGGGGCUAGCGUUGUUCGGAGUUACUGGGCGUAAAGGGCGCGUAGGCGGCGCACCAAGUCAGGCGUGAAAGCCCUGGGCUCAACCCGGGAAUUGCGCUUGAGACUGGUGUGCUUGAGUACGGGAGAGGAUAGUGGAAUUCCCAGUGUAGAGGUGAAAUUCGUAGAUAUUGGGAAGAACACCGGUGGCGAAGGCGGCACACUGGCCCAUUACUGACGCUGAGGCUCGAAAGCGUGGGGAGCAAACAGGG
rnacentral:rRNA from 1 species